UACGAAGGGGGCUAGCGUUGCUCGGAAUCACUGGGCGUAAAGCGCACGUAGGCGGAUUGUUAAGUCAGGGGUGAAAUCCUGGAGCUCAACUCCAGAACUGCCUUUGAUACUGGCGAUCUCGAGUCCGGGAGAGGUGAGUGGAACUCCGAGUGUAGGGGUGAAAUUCGUAGAUAUUCGGAAGAACACCAGUGGCGAAGGCGACUGACUGGACAAGUAUUGACGCUGAGGUGCGAAAGCGUGGGGAGCAAACAGG
rnacentral:rRNA from 1 species